rnacentral:rRNA from 1 species
AGAGUUUGAUCCUGGCUCAGGAUGAACGCUAGCUACAGGCUUAACACAUGCAAGUCGAGGGGCAGCAUGGUCUUAGCUUGCUAAGGCCGAUGGCGACCGGCGCACGGGUGAGUAACACGUAUCCAACCUGCCGUCUACUCUUGGACAGCCUUCUGAAAGGAAGAUUAAUACAAGAUGGCAUCAUGAGUCCACAUGUUCACAUGAUUAAAGGUAUUCCGGUAGACGAUGGGGAUGCGUUCCAUUAGAUAGUAGGCGGGGUAACGGCCCACCUAGUCUUCGAUGGAUAGGGGUUCUGAGAGGAAGGUCCCCCACAUUGGAACUGAGACACGGUCCAAACUCCUACGGGAGGCAGCAGUGAGGAAUAUUGGUCAAUGGGCGAGAGCCUGAACCAGCCAAGUAGCGUGAAGGAUGACUGCCCUAUGGGUUGUAAACUUCUUUUAUAAAGGAAUAAAGUCGGGUAUGGAUACCCGUUUGCAUGUACUUUAUGAAUAAGGAUCGGCUAACUCCGUGCCAGCAGCCGCGGUAAUACGGAGGAUCCGAGCGUUAUCCGGAUUUAUUGGGUUUAAAGGGAGCGUAGAUGGAUGUUUAAGUCAGUUGUGAAAGUUUGCGGCUCAACCGUAAAAUUGCAGUUGAUACUGGAUAUCUUGAGUGCAGUUGAGGCAGGCGGAAUUCGUGGUGUAGCGGUGAAAUGCUUAGAUAUCACGAAGAACUCCGAUUGCGAAGGCAGCCUGCUAAGCUGCAACUGACAUUGAGGCUCGAAAGUGUGGGUAUCAAACAGGAUUAGAUACCCUGGUAGUCCACACGGUAAACGAUGAAUACUCGCUGUUUGCGAUAUACAGCAAGCGGCCAAGCGAAAGCGUUAAGUAUUCCACCUGGGGAGUACGCCGGCAACGGUGAAACUCAAAGGAAUUGACGGGGGCCCGCACAAGCGGAGGAACAUGUGGUUUAAUUCGAUGAUACGCGAGGAACCUUACCCGGGCUUAAAUUGCAGAUGAAUUACGGUGAAAGCCGUAAGCCGCAAGGCAUCUGUGAAGGUGCUGCAUGGUUGUCGUCAGCUCGUGCCGUGAGGUGUCGGCUUAAGUGCCAUAACGAGCGCAACCCUUGUUGUCAGUUACUAACAGGUUCUGCUGAGGACUCUGACAAGACUGCCAUCGUAAGAUGUGAGGAAGGUGGGGAUGACGUCAAAUCAGCACGGCCCUUACGUCCGGGGCUACACACGUGUUACAAUGGGGGGUACAGAGGGCCGCUACCACGCGAGUGGAUGCCAAUCCCCAAAACCUCUCUCAGUUCGGACUGGAGUCUGCAACCCGACUCCACGAAGCUGGAUUCGCUAGUAAUCGCGCAUCAGCCACGGCGCGGUGAAUACGUUCCCGGGCCUUGUACACACCGCCCGUCAAGCCAUGGGAGCCGGGGGUACCUGAAGUGCGUAACCGCGAGGAGCGCCCUAGGGUAAAACUGGUGACUGGGGCUAAGUCGUAACAAGGUAGCCGUACCGGAAGGUGCGGCUG